AAUUUCUAAAGCGCUCUCGAUUGAACGCAAUUAAUCGUUAUCAUAGGUAUAUUAAUUACUACGAUGUAAUGAGAGCACACGCGAAACAAAGCAUAAAGUGCAUGCGGCAGUUGCGACGCUAUAUCGAAAUUCGGAAUAGGAGAUACGAAAUUUUCAACGUACAUUAUACAUUUAAGCGUUGUUUAGCAGCAGCCGAUCGGACUCAUGUAAACAAACAACGCUGGACGUGCGCCGCGGCGCCGUGGCACUGUUUACAUAAACUCGCCGUAUCGCCACUCGUGCUGGGAAGCUUGGACGGACAACUCGACAAGUAGGAAUCGCUCCGUAUCUCCCAUCUUACAAAUAUAACCGCGACGAAAGCGCAGGGCCCAAGAGAGAACGCGUUUUAUUCCGCACGAGCGUUUAUCGAUUAAUGCCGUUCGAUUAAUCAUCUCUUGUAAUUAGAGACUCGUGUAGACGUAUGGAAACGGCACUUCAUUAUCAAAGCAAAUAUCUCGCGAUUUAUUAAUUCGAUGUGUGUACUGAAGCGACAGAUUAUACGGAAAUCGUAAGUUAUUGCUUCGUUGAGACAUUUAAACCAUUAUUGAAAGUGUGAUUUAUUGUAGAUUCAUUCAUGCAUUUAACCUUUUUCUUUUAAUCGAACAUGGAAAAUUAUUUACGACAAUGAAUAUCGAUCUUAGAGCGAUAAUCGCAUCUUCGAUAAUUUUGUAGGAUCGAAUACACACACGUACACAUACAUACACAUCAAAUUGAGAGCGCGGAGUAAUACACGGUCGACUACGUGAGUCAACUAAUGGAAAGCCGUGAUAUAUCGAUUGUUUAUAUAUUAAUAACGUUAAUGUGUGACAACGAGUAAUUAAUAAUACGCGCAUUCCGCGGGGAUUACGCGUGUGAAAUAUACUGGCCGCGAAUUUCGACCGCAUAUUUUCGGACACGGUUCAACUGCACUUGAUCAGUCGCUAAUUUGACUCGUGUUGUAUCGCAAGAGUGAAGUUACCGACGCCACUUUCGCGGUUUCCCUCUCUGCGUACCCCGCGUCGGAGCGUCGGAGCGUCGCACGCGUCGCCGCGUCGUGGACACACAGAAAACAUAGGUAACCGUCGUCUAACACACAGUCGUUAUUGGCGUCGUUCCUCGACGUUCGUCAACGGUGUAACGUAAAUUCGAUUUGUAUUCAUCGCAGCGAGCGCGGAGCACGACAAUCGCAAUCGACGCGCGGCGUCAAGCGCCAAUGUUCCGCGCGGUGUUGUUGUCGUUACGCGAGGUCGCGUGUGUUUUCAUUCGCGCGCCGCGAGCCUGAGUGUAGGCACGGACAGGGCGAGAGCUGCGUCGCAUCGUCAUAGCGUUCUUUCUCGAGCUUUCCAUCCCGGGACACCGAACGCGGUUCGCCAGGGACAGAAAUUAGCUAUCGUUGGCACGGUUAGUCGUCACGCGACGCUGGCGAUCGACGAUUAAUUCGCAGGCGUGCUAAAGUGACGUCUGCGUGUACGUAUUUCGUGAGAUUUAUUCGUUGGGUUAGCAUCGUCUGACAUACGGCCGUUCCUUGACAUUCGUCAACGGAGUAACAUAAAUUUUAUUUACAUUUUGCACAGCGAGCGACCGACUCGAGCGCCAAACGCGACGACCACCGUCGACGCGUGGCGCCAACGCUCCGCGCGGCGUUGUUAUUUAGUAAGGUUGGUGUUUUUAUUCGCGCACGGCGAUCCUCUGUGCAGAUACGGACAGGGAACAGGGACGAGGGUCGUUCGGUGCGUUGCACUGUCGUAGCGUUCUCUCUUUCUCGAGCUUUCUAUCCCGAGACGCCAAACGCGAUUCGCCAGGAACAGCUAUCAUUGUAGCUGUAAUUAGCUAUCAUUGACGAGGUUAGUCGACGCGCGACGCUGGCGAUCGACGAUCGAUUCGCAAGCGUGCCUACGACUGCGUGUACGUUUUCCUGAGAUUUAUUCGUUGUACGUAAGAAUCCAAGAGGUAGGAACGUUAAAUUACUGUUUUCAUUGCAACAUUUGAGCGGAUGAUAAUUUUCUUAAUACGUGAAUUCUAAUUUCUGCACCUCGCGCGUCGUACUUUGCAUUCCUAACCUAUUAGAAAUUGGUCUGAAGUGUAUCGCAGGUAUGAUAAUGAAAUUUUCGCAAGUUGCCUGCUACGUAUGCGGUCGUUACUUUGAUACACGUAGUAACGCGGGAAUGAAAUAGUCGGCGCCAAUUGUCGCAAUCUCGUUUUCAGGUUAUCUCAGGUAGAAAAAGGAACGAUUCCGAGACGAGCGACGUUGCGGCGUGUCUAAUUCGGACGCCGAACGGAUCGUUGCUUCGAUCGCGAUUCCGAUUCUCGUUUUCGCAAAUAUGAUUUUGGGAAAUGUUAUAAAACGCCUGUCGCGAUUAACGCAAUCGGGAGUGCGAAGUUCCGCGCGAUCGUGAUUAACCUCAUUUCGCGGUGCGCGCAUCGCGUUCGAUUAAUGUCGGGUGUGCCGUAUAAAGUGUCGCGCGAUCCUAAUUAACCUUACUUUCGCGAGUGAUGUGUGAGUGUCACGAAAGGACGACGACCAGGAAAUCUGAGAGGAGGAGGAGGCCCGGGGAGGCAUCAGGCGACGGCGGAGCAACUGAGGAUCCAUGUACACUUAUGUAACAACUCCACUGCUGUGCAUCGCAUUUAGAUUUAGAACCGACGAUUCCAACGUGACUGAAAAUUGAGAAAGGUGAAGCGACGAAACGAUGGGGACGAGGUCGAAAAGCGAGACAGAGGAGAGGAAGAGGGAGGGAGUGGAGAAUACAUUAACAGCAAUCGUUGAAAUCGCAAAGAAACGAACUUCGGCAGGACAGACGCAGGUAUGAUUAGAAAGCGGCGCGGAGAUCCUCUCACGCUGUUUCUGAGAAGUCCUUUAAUUUCGCUCGGAAGUAAUUACGACGGCGAUUUAACACGGCGUGGCGUGUAUACGCUUUCGUGACUACGUAAGCGCGGUCCUCGCUGGAUGUCUCUCGGACAAUUUCCGCAUUUCGCUAAAGGCGAAGGAGAAUAAAUAGUGGCAUACGAGCUCUCCGCGGCGCGAGAGUGCUCAUCUAGUUACGAUUGACGGGAAAUUAUACGCUUCCCGAUUUUGUUAAGCUGGCAGAUGAAAAGACGUAGGGCUUAACUCAAAAGGAAGAAAAAGACGUGCGAGCUUAAUUCGAGUAAAAUGAAAAAGAAUUUCUGAAUUAAUCGUGAAAAUACAUUAUCAUAUUUCAUUUCUUAUAUUAUUGUACGCUUUAUUUUACUUCUUACACCAUGUUACCGUUUU